UAUGGCCAUAUAGCAUUGAAACAUUGGUUCCCGUGUGAUCAUCGACAUUAAGCAACAUCAAGCCUGGUCAGUACUUAGAUGGGUGACUACUUGGGAAUCGGGUGCUGUAAG